CAUGGUUCAUGGUCAACUACAUCUCCACCGAGUACAAGCCGUUCCAGCUGGCGGACGAGGUCCAGGCGCUGCAGUCGCGAGCCACCGACAUUCAGCUGGCGCUCGACGAGGCUGCCGCCACCCAGCGGCGACUGGAGGGCACGAUCGAGGAACGUGAGCGGGCGCGGCUGCAGCGCGAGGAGGAGGUGGGCGCAGA